rnacentral:rRNA from 1 species
UUAAGCGACUAAGCGUACACGGUGGAUGCCCUGGCAGUCAGAGGCGAUGAAGGACGUGCUAAUCUGCGAUAAGCGUCGGUAAGGUGAUAUGAACCGUUAUAACCGGCGAUUUCCGAAUGGGGAAACCCAGUGUGAUUCGUCACACUAUCAUUAACUGAAUCCAUAGGUUAAUGAGGCGAACCGGGGGAACUGAAACAUCUAAGUACCCCGAGGAAAAGAAAUCAACCGAGAUUCCCCCAGUAGCGGCGAGCGAACGGGGAGGAGCCCAGAGCCUGAAUCAGUGUGUGUGUUAGUGGAAGCGUCUGGAAAGGCGCGCGAUACAGGGUGACAGCCCCGUACACAAAAAUGCACAUGCUGUGAGCUCGAUGAGUAGGGCGGGACACGUGGUAUCCUGUCUGAAUAUGGGGGGACCAUCCUCCAAGGCUAAAUACUCCUGACUGACCGAUAGUGAACCAGUACCGUGAGGGAAAGGCGAAAAGAACCCCGGCGAGGGGAGUGAAAAAGAACCUGAAACCGUGUACGUACAAGCAGUGGGAGCACGCUUAGGCGUGUGACUGCGUACCUUUUGUAUAAUGGGUCAGCGACUUAUAUUCUGUAGCAAGGUUAACCGAAUAGGGGAGCCGAAGGGAAACCGAGUCUUAACUGGGCGUUAAGUUGCAGGGUAUAGACCCGAAACCCGGUGAUCUAGCCAUGGGCAGGUUGAAGGUUGGGUAACACUAACUGGAGGACCGAACCGACUAAUGUUGAAAAAUUAGCGGAUGACUUGUGGCUGGGGGUGAAAGGCCAAUCAAACCGGGAGAUAGCUGGUUCUCCCCGAAAGCUAUUUAGGUAGCGCCUCGUGAAUUCAUCUCCGGGGGUAGAGCACUGUUUCGGCAAGGGGGUCAUCCCGACUUACCAACCCGAUGCAAACUGCGAAUACCGGAGAAUGUUAUCACGGGAGACACACGGCGGGUGCUAACGUCCGUCGUGAAGAGGGAAACAACCCAGACCGCCAGCUAAGGUCCCAAAGUCAUGGUUAAGUGGGAAACGAUGUGGGAAGGCCCAGACAGCCAGGAUGUUGGCUUAGAAGCAGCCAUCAUUUAAAGAAAGCGUAAUAGCUCACUGGUCGAGUCGGCCUGCGCGGAAGAUGUAACGGGGCUAAACCAUGCACCGAAGCUGCGGCAGCGACGCUUAUGCGUUGUUGGGUAGGGGAGCGUUCUGUAAGCCUGUGAAGGUGUGCUGUGAGGCAUGCUGGAGGUAUCAGAAGUGCGAAUGCUGACAUAAGUAACGAUAAAGCGGGUGAAAAGCCCGCUCGCCGGAAGACCAAGGGUUCCUGUCCAACGUUAAUCGGGGCAGGGUGAGUCGACCCCUAAGGCGAGGCCGAAAGGCGUAGUCGAUGGGAAACAGGUUAAUAUUCCUGUACUUGGUGUUACUGCGAAGGGGGGACGGAGAAGGCUAUGUUGGCCGGGCGACGGUUGUCCCGGUUUAAGCGUGUAGGCUGGUUUUCCAGGCAAAUCCGGAAAAUCAAGGCUGAGGCGUGAUGACGAGGCACUACGGUGCUGAAGCAACAAAUGCCCUGCUUCCAGGAAAAGCCUCUAAGCAUCAGGUAACAUCAAAUCGUACCCCAAACCGACACAGGUGGUCAGGUAGAGAAUACCAAGGCGCUUGAGAGAACUCGGGUGAAGGAACUAGGCAAAAUGGUGCCGUAACUUCGGGAGAAGGCACGCUGAUAUGUAGGUGAAGUCCCUCGCGGAUGGAGCUGAAAUCAGUCGAAGAUACCAGCUGGCUGCAACUGUUUAUUAAAAACACAGCACUGUGCAAACACGAAAGUGGACGUAUACGGUGUGACGCCUGCCCGGUGCCGGAAGGUUAAUUGAUGGGGUUAGCCGCAAGGCGAAGCUCUUGAUCGAAGCCCCGGUAAACGGCGGCCGUAACUAUAACGGUCCUAAGGUAGCGAAAUUCCUUGUCGGGUAAGUUCCGACCUGCACGAAUGGCGUAAUGAUGGCCAGGCUGUCUCCACCCGAGACUCAGUGAAAUUGAACUCGCUGUGAAGAUGCAGUGUACCCGCGGCAAGACGGAAAGACCCCGUGAACCUUUACUAUAGCUUGACACUGAACAUUGAGCCUUGAUGUGUAGGAUAGGUGGGAGGCUUUGAAGUGUGGACGCCAGUCUGCAUGGAGCCGACCUUGAAAUACCACCCUUUAAUGUUUGAUGUUCUAACGUUGACCCGUAAUCCGGGUUGCGGACAGUGUCUGGUGGGUAGUUUGACUGGGGCGGUCUCCUCCUAAAGAGUAACGGAGGAGCACGAAGGUUGGCUAAUCCUGGUCGGACAUCAGGAGGUUAGUGCAAUGGCAUAAGCCAGCUUGACUGCGAGCGUGACGGCGCGAGCAGGUGCGAAAGCAGGUCAUAGUGAUCCGGUGGUUCUGAAUGGAAGGGCCAUCGCUCAACGGAUAAAAGGUACUCCGGGGAUAACAGGCUGAUACCGCCCAAGAGUUCAUAUCGACGGCGGUGUUUGGCACCUCGAUGUCGGCUCAUCACAUCCUGGGGCUGAAGUAGGUCCCAAGGGUAUGGCUGUUCGCCAUUUAAAGUGGUACGCGAGCUGGGUUUAGAACGUCGUGAGACAGUUCGGUCCCUAUCUGCCGUGGGCGCUGGAGAACUGAGGGGGGCUGCUCCUAGUACGAGAGGACCGGAGUGGACGCAUCACUGGUGUUCGGGUUGUCAUGCCAAUGGCACUGCCCGGUAGCUAAAUGCGGAAGAGAUAAGUGCUGAAAGCAUCUAAGCACGAAACUUGCCCCGAGAUGAGUUCUCCCUGACUCCUUGAGAGUCCUGAAGGAACGUUGAAGACGACGACGUUGAUAGGCCGGGUGUGUAAGCGCAGCGAUGCGUUGAGCUAACCGGUACUAAUGAACCGUGAGGCUUAACCUU